CCUGGCUUAGGAUGAACGCUAGCGACAGGCCUAACACAUGCAAGUCGAGGGCAGCACAAGGAGCAAUCUGAGGUGGCGACCGGCGCACGGGUGAGUAACACGUAUGCAACCUGCCUGUAAGCGGGGAAUAACCCGUUGAAAGACGGACUAAUACCGCAUAAUACUAAAUUACUGCAUGGUAAUUUAUUUAAACAUUUAUGGCUUACAGAUGGGCAUGCGCAUGAUUAGCUAGUUGGAGAGGUAACGGCUCCCCAAGGCAACGAUCAUUAGGGGUUCUGAGAGGAAGGUCCCCCCACACUGGUACUGAGACACGGACCAGACUCCUACGGGAGGCAGCAGUGAGGAAUAUUGGUCAAUGGACGAGAGUCUGAACCAGCCAAGUCGCGUGCAGGAAGAAUUGUCCUAUGGAUUGUAAACUGCUUUUGCAGGGGAAUAAAGUGCAUCACGUGUGAUGUUUUGUAUGUACUCUGCGAAUAAGGAUCGGCUAACUCCGUGCCAGCCGCCGC
rnacentral:rRNA from 1 species